GGUGCGCUCAGACCGGUCGGAAAUCGGUCGCAGAGUAUAAAGGCAAAAGCGCGCUUGACUGCGAGACAGACACGUCGAGCAGGUACGAAAGUAGGUCUUAGUGAUCCGGUGGUUCUGUAUGGAAGGGCCAUCGCUCAACGGAUAAAAGGUACUCCGGGGAUAACAGGCUGAUACCGCCCAAGAGUUCAUAUCGACGGCGGUGUUUGGCACCUCGAUGUCGGCUCAUCACAUCCUGGGGCUGAAGCCGGUCCCAAGGGUAUGGCUGUUCGCCAUUUAAAGUGGUACGCGAGCUGGGUUUAGAACGUCGUGAGACAGUUCGGUCCCUAUCUGCCGUGGACGUUUGAGAUUUGAGAGGGGCUGCUCCUAGUACGAGAGGACCGGAGUGGACGAACCUCUGGUGUUCCGGUUGUCACGCCAGUGGCAUUGCCGGGUAGCUAUGUUCGGAAAAGAUAACCGCUGAAAGCAUCUAAGCGGGAAACUUGCCUCAAGAUGAGAUCUCACUGGGAACUUGAUUCCCCUGAAGGGCCGUCGAAGACUACGACGUUGAUAGGCUGGGUGUGUAAGCGUUGUGAGGCGUUGAGCUAACCAGUACUAAUUGCCCGUGAGGCUUGACCAU
rnacentral:rRNA from 1 species